GAUGAACGCUGGCGGCGUGCCUAAUACAUGCAAGUCGAGCGAACAGACGAGGAGCUUGCUCCUCUGACGUUAGCGGCGGACGGGUGAGUAACACGUGGAUAACCUACCUAUAAGACUGGGAUAACUUCGGGAAACCGGAGCUAAUACCGGAUAAUAUAUUGAACCGCAUGGUUCAAUAGUGAAAGACGGUUUUGCUGUCACUUAAAGAUGGAUCCGCGCCGCAUUAGCUAGUUGGUAAGGUAACGGCUUACCAAGGCAACGAUGCGUAGCCGACCUGAGAGGGUGAUCGGCCACACUGGAACUGAGACACGGUCCAGACUCCUACGGGAGGCAGCAGUCGGGAAUCUUCCGCAAUGGGCGAAAGCCUGACGGAGCAACGCCGCGUGAGUGAUGAAGGUCUUCGGAUCGUAAAACUCUGUUAUUAGGGAAGAACAAAUGUGUAAGUAACUAUGCACGUCUUGACGGUACCUAAUCAGAAAGCCACGGCUAACUACGUG
rnacentral:rRNA from 1 species